AAACAAUUGGGAAACAAAAAUGUUGAAAAGUAAUUUCACUCAAUGUAACAAUGUUUUAUAUACAUGUUUUUUUUUUAAGUAGAGUAUUUUGAUAUCUUUCUAGUAUCGUCGUAACUACAUCAAUUUAUGUUUUAGAACAGUGGUGCUCAAAAUGUAGAAUUUUACCAGGAAAAUUGAAGGGAUCUUUGCUAUUGAAACAUGAUGAUAUGCCAACAUAUUUGAUUUGUAAAUAAAAUGUGGCUGUUUAAAAAAAACAACCACAUGCAUAACAGUAUUAUGAACAAAUAUGACGGCACUCUUGGUAUGAGCCGCAAAUAAAAGAUUGAUUAACUACUUCUAGAGAGUGGAGGAUUGAUGGGGAAAGUUAUAAAAAAGAGAAAAGAAAACUAGCUACAAUGUUUCUCACAUUUUAAGUAGCGAAAUGAAGCCACUUUCCGACGCGUAAAAAAAGAAAAACUUCCAAUGUCUAAUUAUUAGUGUAAGUUUGUAAUCAAACAGUUUCAAGUCAAUUUCAUUUCGUUUUUGUACCUUAUCGGUCAUGUGGCCCGCGACACGAGUGUCGGAAAUAUAAAUGGCCCCCAGGAUGAAAAAGGUUGGGCAUCACUGUUUUAGAAAAUGUGAGGCAGGUAAGUGGACGGGUUCUGGCUAUUUCAGCACCAAUACAUGUGACCUACAAGCUACCCAACAAGCCCUCCCUCCCUCACACAAAUACAUGUGACUUACAAGCUACCAACAAGCCCUCCCUCCCUCGCACAAAUACAUGUAACUUACAAGCUACCAACAAGGCCUCCCUCCCUCACACAAAUACAUGACUUACAAGCUACCAACAAGCCCUCCCUCCCUCACACAAAUACGUGACUUACAAGCUACCAACAAGCCCUCCCUCCCUCCCUCACACAUAUAUAUGUGACUUACAAGCUACCAACAAGCCCUUCCUCCCUCACACAAAUACAUGACCUACAUGCUACCAACAAGCCCUCCCUCCCUCACACAAAUACAUGUGACUUAUAAGCUACCAAUUAGCCUCUCUCUCCCUCACACAAAUACAUGACCUACAAGCUACCAACAAGCCCUCCCUCCAUAACACAAAUACAUGACCUACAAGCUACCAACAAGCCCUCCCUCCCUCGCACAAAUAUAUGUGACUUACAAGCUACCAACAAGCCCUCCCUCCCUCACACAAAUACAUGACCUACAAGCUACCAACAAGCCCUCCCUCCCUCGCACAAAUAUAUGUGACUUACAAGCUACCAACAAGCCCUCCCUCCCUCACACAAAUACAUGACUUACAAGCUACCAACAAGCCCUCCCUCCCUCACACAAAUACAUGUGACUUACAAGCUACCAACAAGCCCUCCCUCCCUCACACAAAUACAUGUGACUUAUAAGCUACCAACAAGCCUCUCUCUCCCUCACACAAAUACAUGACCUACAAGCCUUCCCUCCCUCACACAAAUAUAUGUGACUUACAAGCUACCAACAAGCCCUUCCUCCCUCACACAAAUACAUGUGACUUACAAGCUACCAACAAGCCCUCCCUCCCUCACACAAAUACAUGUGACUUAUAAGCUAUCAACAAGCCCUCCCUCCCUCACACAAAUACAUGUGACUUACAAGCUACCAACAAGCCCUCCCUCCCUCCCACAAAUACAUGACCUACAAGCUACCAACAAGCCCUCCCUCCCUCGCACAAAUAUAUGUGACUUACAAGCUACCAACAAGCCCUCCCUCCCUCACACAAAUACAUGACCUACAAGCUACCAACAAGCCCUCCCUCCCUCGCACAAAUAUAUGUGACUUACAAGCUACCAACAAGCCCUCCCUCCCUCACACAAAUACAUGACUUACAAGCUACCAACAAGCCUUCCCUCCCUCACACAAAUACAUGUGACUUACAAGCUACCAACAAGCCCUCCCUCCCUCACACAAAUACAUGUGACUUAUAAGCUACCAACAAGCCUCUCUCUCCCUCACACAAAUACAUGACCUACAAGCUACCAACAAGCCCUCCCUCCCUCACACAAAUAUAUGUGACUUACAAGCUACCAACAAGCCCUUCCUCCCUCACACAAAUACAUGACCUACAUGCUACCAACAAGCCCUCCCUCCCUCGCACAAAUAUAUGUGACUUACAAGCUACCAACAAGCCCUCCCUCCCUCACACAAAUGCAUGACCUACAAGCUACCAACAAGCCCUCCCUCCCUCACACAAAUAUAUGUGACUUACAAGCUACCAACAAGCCCUUCCUCCCUCACACAAAUACAUGACCUACAUGCUACCAACAAGCCCUCCCUCCCUCACACAAAUACAUGUGACUUAUAAGCUACCAAUUACCCUCUCUCUCCCUCACACAAAUACAUGACCUACAAGCUACCAACAAGCCCUCCCUCCCUCACACAAAUACAUUAUUAUUAGUAUAGCUUUUAUAUAGCGCUACUUUCAUGCUUAUAGCAUGCUCAGAGCGCUUUUGGUCCAAUCUCAUUUGUGGACCGGUGGGGGGGAGGGGGUAUCUAGGAGUUAGUUUUCCGUGCUGCCUUUAGGCGCUCAGUCGGGUGUCGAACCUCGAGCCCCCUUCUAGGUAGCCAAGCCAAGCAAAGUUCAAACACACUUAGCCUCUCGACGACGCUUCCCACAUGACCUACAAGCUACCAACAAGCCCUCCCUCCCUCACACAAAUACAUGUGACCUACAAG